rnacentral:misc_RNA from 1 species
UUUCCGUAGGUGAACCUGCGGAUGGAUCAUUCAUAAUAAAGUGUUUUAUGGCACUUUUUAAAAAUCCAUAUCAACCUUGUGUGCAAUGUUAGAUCUCGUCAAUCUUGGCGAGAUUUUUAUACAUCAACUCAUUCUUUAACUAAUUUGUCUGAAAAAUAUUAUGAAUACUUAAUUCAAAAUACAACUUUCAACAACGGAUCUCUUGGCUCUC